GUUUACGGUCAUACUACCCUGAAUGUGCCUGAGCUUGUCUGAUACGAAGCUAAGCAGGGUUGGGCCUGGUUAGUGCUUGGAUGGCAGAAGCAAAAGAGAUAAGAAACAUGAGGAUGCUGCUGAGG
rnacentral:rRNA from 1 species